rnacentral:rRNA from 1 species
GACGGACGCUGGCGGCGUGCUUAACACAUGCAAGUCGAACGGAAAGGCCCUGCUUUUGUGGGGUGCUCGAGUGGCGAACGGGUGAGUAACACGUGAGUAACCUGCCCUUGACUUUGGGAUAACUUCAGGAAACUGGGGCUAAUACCGGAUAGGAGCUCCUGCUGCAUGGUGGGGGUUGGAAAGUUUCGGCGGUUGGGGAUGGACUCGCGGCUUAUCAGCUUGUUGGUGGGGUAGUGGCUUACCAAGGCUUUGACGGGUAGCCGGCCUGAGAGGGUGACCGGCCACAUUGGGACUGACAUACGGCCCAGACUCCUACGGGAGGCAGCAGUGGGGAAUAUUGCACAAUGGGCGGAAGCCUGAUGCAGUAACGCCGCGUGCGGGAUGACGGCCUUCGGGUUGUAAACCGCUUUCGCCUGUGACGAAGCGUGAGUGACGGUAAUGGGUAAAGAAGCACCGGCUAACUACGUG